GAAAAAGACACCUUCUUCCUCUUCUCAGUAAUAUCCUGUAUGCCUUCAAAUGCUGGGGUAUAGCACUUAUCCAGAUACACCAAAUAAGCAGUUAUUUCUUCUGGAGAAUAUCUGUGAAGGCAAGAGGAAAAAUGCUGAGAACACAAAACUAAAGAGAUUAUGCCUAUGGAUCAAGAUAUUUGUAAGGUUAUGGCAAGAUUCAGAAUGUGGACAAAGAAAUCAAGCUGUACAUAAACGUUCAAAAUGGAGAAAGAGAAAAAUAUUGAAUAUAUCAAGCAUGAAGAGGGAUAUUGGAGAAGAAAGCUGAUAAGUCCAGUUCUGCUCUGACUUCUCUCAGUGACAAGUUCUCUCAUUACCUU
ensembl:lncRNA